rnacentral:lncRNA from 1 species
AUGUCAGCGGCCCUGGUCACGCGUUCCAGGCGGCCCGGCCAAUGGACGCCGGGGGGCGUGGUCCGCUGCGGGCUCGCGGCGUUUAUAACCGCUUGCAGCUCCGCGCCGGCUCGCGAGCGCAGGUGCAAGCUUGGGUUCCCGGGCGUAAGCGGCACAGGUGUCCGGGUCUUCGGUUCUGUUGAGCCGCCGACCCACUCCGCCCGCGCCGCCGUCUGGCAUGGAGUCCUUGCCUUUCCCCCGGCGCCUCGGCCCUGCGCCCUCGGCCACUGCCGCGCUGGCCGCCGAGCUGGUCCGGCCCCUGGCCGACGGGCUUCUCAAGUCGCCCAAGCCCUUGAUGAAGAAGCAGGCGGUGAAGCGGCACCACCACAAGCACAACCUGCGACACCGCUACGAGUUCCUGGAGACCCUGGGCAAGGGGACUUACGGGAAGGUGAAGAAGGCGCGGGAGAGCUCCGGGCGCCUGUGUUUGAGAACAGCAGCAGGAUCGUGAUCGUCAUGGAGUACGCCAGCCGGGGUGACCUGUAUGACUACAUCAGCGGGCGGCAGCGGCUCAGCGAGCGUGAGGCCAGGCACUUCUUCCGGCAAAUCGUCUCCGCCGUGCACUACUGCCACCAGAACGGGGUUGUCCACCGGGAUCUCAAACUGGAGAAUAUCCUCUUAGAUGCCAACGGAAAUAUCAAGAUCGCUGACUUUGGCCUCUCCAACCUCUACCACCAAGGCAAGUUCCUGCAGACGUUCUGCGGGAGCCCCCUCUACGCCUCGCCGGAGAUCGUCAAUGGAAAGCCCUACACAGGACCAGAGGUGGACAGCUGGUCCCUGGGCGUUCUCCUCUACAUCCUGGUGCAUGGCUCCAUGCCCUUUGAUGGGCAGGACCACAAGACACUGGUGAAACAGAUCAGCAACGGGGCCUACCGGCAGCCUCCUAAACCCUCUGAUGCCUGUGGCCUAAUCCGGUGGCUACUGAUGGUGAACCCUACCCGCCGGGCCACCCUGGAGGACGUGGCCAGCCACUGGUGGGUCAACUGGGGCUACACCACCCGUGUCGGGGAGCAGGGGGCCCUGAACGAGGGCGGGCACCCCAGCAGCGACCCCGGCCGGACCUCCGUGGCUCAGUGGCUGUGGCGCUCCUCCCGACCCCUCCUGGAGAACGGCGCCAAGGUCUGCAGCUUCUUGAAGCAGCAGGCGCCGGGCGGCAGGGCCCUCGCCCCUGGCCUGGAGCGCCAGCACUCGCUCAAGAAGUCCCGCAAGGAGAACGCCAUGGCCCAGACCUUCCAGGGGGCCCCGGCCACUGAUGCCUCCCCUCGCCCUGGGAAGGGUGGCCUCAAGCUGCCGAAAGGCAUUCUCAAGAAGAAGACAUCAAAUCCCGCAGAGGGGGCAACACAGGGCCCUGAGCCCGGCCCCAGUCCCGCCAACCCAGGCCAGGCUGGCCCGCCGCUCCCCAAGAAGGGCAUCCUCAAGAAGGCACGCCAGCGGGAGUCCGGCUACUACUCCUCGCCUGAGCCCAGCGAGUCUGGGGAGCUCUUGGAUGCCGGGGACGUGUUUGUGAGUGGGGAUACGGAUGCCGGGAACGUGUUUGUGAGUGGGGAUACCAUGGAGCACAAGCCCCCUCCAGCCUCGGGGCGGCCGCCGCAUCGCAAGGGUAUUCUCAAACACAAUGGCAAGUUCUCGCACGCGGCCCUGGAGCACACAGCGCCCACCGCCUUCGGCUCUUUGGAUGAACUGGCCUCCCCACGCCCUCCAGCCCGGGCCAGCCACCCCUCGGGGGCUGUGAGUGAGGAUAGCAUCCUGUCCUCUGAGUCCUUCGACCAGCUGGACUUGCCCGAACGGCUCCCCGAGCCCCCUCUGCGGGGCUCUGUGUCUGUGGACAACCUCAUGGGGCUGGAUGCACCCCCAUUGGAGGGCCCCGGAAGCCGAGGCCUGAGGCGCUGGAGGCAGGACCCCCUGGGGACUAGCUGCUUUUCUCUGCUGGACUGCCCGGAGGGGACAGAGGGCGGCCAGCAGGGACUGAGGGUCUGCUCGGAGCUCAGCUGA